GUGCCAAGGCGACCACGAAAAUCAAAGUGUAAGGCGACGUACCGGAGGCAUGGAGUCGCCGCUUAUCCAGCAUACUAACGAGUCCCUUACAUCAUACACGUCUAAGUCCGGCUGAAAAAGACAAACACUUGUAUAAUACGGGAAAAAUUCGUUAACUCCUGAAGUGGACGGUUCAAGCUGCAUAUAAGUUGAGGAGUGUAUACAACAGUGAUUUUGUUUGUGAAGAACAUGUGCGUCACAAUUCACUGCUAUAAUCUGCGAUAUUGUAUUUCAUCUUGUUCAUAUAUGAGGUGGUGUUAUUUGUAGUAGUCGGUAUACCUAGUUGUGCUGAUAGUGUGCUACUGCUACUAGUGUGUAGGGAUGAGACAGGUUCUGCUGCGUGGGGUAGAUGUCGCUGCUGGGGUACUGCUGUAUUUUCUUCUCAUUUUUGAUGCCGCGGAAGAAAAAUCGGACUCCGGUCGCCGGAAUUUAAACCCGGGUCCCGAACGUUCGUAACCUAAGGCGCUAACCACUGCGCUGCCGCCAUCCGACACUUCUGAAUACUGGUGGUAUUUUACUGUCGAGUGCCACCACAUAUACUUUUAACAGUCGAUAAUUUGUUGAAUGUUACAAUACAAGUAGCGAUAAUACAAAAUUAUUAUUAUUUAACUUUUCAGAGGUUUAUAAAUUAAAUAUCAAUACCUAAAUAUCAAUUCAACAAGAAUCAACGUUGAAACGCGUACACAUUUGAGUUGGUAUGCGUCCAGCUGGAUGAAAGACAGCCAAUUAUCGAUAUUUUAGGUAUACCUUGAACUAACGUCGAACUUAGAUCGUUAAUAACAUUCACUGAUAAAUGGCAAAAGAGUUUGUGGCCAGUUGAACACUUGAAGGAGACGAAACUAUA